CUUUGCUGUCACCUCUGUGAUAACUCUUUAGGCAUUCCUUCGAAUCCGAUGUAAGAACAGACAAAAAUGAAAGCCCUUCUACGAGUGAUUAGCCUUGUCGUGAUUAGCGUGGUGGUGAUUAUUAUCCCACCGUGCGGGGCUGCACUUGGACGAAGAAAGGCUUAAAAAUCAAGCCUGAAUCAACGAGAACCCCCGCACCGAAAGGUCCGGGGGUUUUUUUAUGACCUAAAAAUUUAAACGAGGAGCAGAAGAUGAGUAGUAGCACAAAAUUCUGUUCGCCGAGAAAUAA
rfam:Cronobacter sp. DJ34 Bact_Masurca_137, whole genome shotgun sequence.